AUGAAGCGAGAAGUCGACGCGCCGAUUUUCGGCGUCCGGCCCUCCGCAAGCGCCCGCGGGAGUUCGGGUUCCGGACCCGGUCCGAUCCCGUUCCCUCCGUGGGGCUGUUUGCGAUCUGGAGGUGUCCUCGGACGGCGUCGUUUUUCUCCAGUCCGCGACGCUACGGCUUGGAUGGCCUACCCGACCCGUCUUGAAACACGGACCAAGGAGUCUAACAUGCGCGCGAGUCGUUGGGUCGGACGCGCUCCGCUAAACCCAUAGGCGAAAUGAAAGUGAAGGCCCCUCUUGGGUGCCGAGGGAGGACGGAGCGGGUCCCCUUGUGGGACGGCUCCCGCACUCCCGGGGCGUCUGAUUCCUCAUUGCGAGGGAAGGCGCACCCAGAGCGCACACGUUGGGACCCGAAAGAUGGUGAACUAUGCCUGGCCAGGACGAAGUCAGGGGAAACCCUGAUGGAGGUCCGUAGCGAUUCUGACGUGCAAAUCGAUCGUCGGAGCUGGGGAUAGGGGCGAAAGACUAAUCGAACCAUCUAGUAGCUGGUUCCCUCCGAAGUUUCCCUCAGGAUAGCUUGCGCUCGGAGGAGAGUCUCAUCCGGUAAAGCGAAUGAUUAGAGGCCUUGGGGCCGAAACGGCUUCAACCUAUUCUCAAACUUUAAAUGGGUGAGAACUCCGGCUUGCUCGAUGAAUUUAGUGAAGCCGGAGUCGGGGCCACGAGCCCCCAGGAUCGGAGUGCAUAGUGGGCCACUUUUGGUAAGCAGAACUGGCGCUGUGGGAUGAACCAAACGACGGGUUAAGGCGCCCGAAUCGACGCUCAUGGGAAACCAUGAAAGGUGUUGGUUGCUUAAGACAGCAGGACGGUGGCCAUGGAAGUCGGAAUCCGCUAAGGAGUGUGUAACAACUCACCUGCCGAAGCAACUAGCCCUGAAAAUGGAUGGCGCUGAAGCGUCGUGCCUAUACCCGGCCGUCGCGGCAGGGCGGGCCCCGUGAGGGGUGCCGCUUGAUGCGGCGACGAGUAGGAGGGUCGCGGCGGCGUGCGCAGAAGGGUCUGGGCUCGAGCCUACCUGGAGCCGCCGCCGGUGCAGAUCUUGGUGGUAGUAGCAAAUACUCCAGCGAGGCCCUGGAGGACUGAUGUGGAGAAGGGUUUCGUGUGAACAGCCGUUGCACACGAGUCAGUCGAUCCUAAGCCCUAGGAGAAAUCCGAUACCAACGGCGAUGGGACGAACGAAUUUAUUAUGAUAACAGCCCAUUGAUCGGGCGAAAGGGAAUCCGGUUCCUAUUCCGGAACCCGGCAGCGGAACCGCUGUUUGUCGGGCCCUCACAAGGGGUUCGUCAGGGUAACCUAAAAGGGCCCGGAGACGCCGUCGGGAGCCCCGGAAAGAGUUUUCUUUUCUGCAUGAGCGUUCGAGUUCCCUG
rnacentral:rRNA from 1 species